AAUCUGCCCAGUAGUGGGGAAGUAAACCUGGGGAAACUCAGGCUAAUACCGCAUACGAACUACGGUUGAAAGCAGGGGAUCGCAAGACCUUGCGCUAUUGGAUGAGCCGAAGUCGGAUUAGCUAGUUGGUGGGGUAAAGGCUCACCAAGGCGACGAUCCGUAGCUGGUCUGAGAGGACGACCAGCCACACUGGAACUGAGACACGGUCCAG
rnacentral:rRNA from 1 species